GAGAAACGACCCAGGACCUGCGAGGGAGGAAAGACGUUUCCCGCCGGCGGGAGCUGCAGUUGAAGUGGCCAGGGGAGCUCGGAGGCGGCGGGGCCCGGCGCAGCGGCACCAUGGCGGACCAGUUUUAUCUGGAAAAUAUAGACGAGUUCGUCACGGACCAGAACAAGAUAGUGACAUACAAAUGGCUGAGCUAUACACUAGGAGUUCAUGUUAAUCAGGCCAAACAGAUGCUGUAUGAUUAUGUUGAAAGGAAGCGAAAGGAAAAUUCAGGAGCCCAACUGCAUGUCACUUAUUUAGUGUCUGGCAGUCUCAUUCAGAAUGGACAUUCCUGCCACAAGGUUGCAGUAGUGAGAGAAGAUAAAUUGGAAGCAGUGAAGUCCAAGCUAGCUGUGACUGCCAGUGUACAUGUGUACAGCAUCCAGAAAGCCAUGCUAAAGGACAGUGGGCCUCUGUUCAAUACCGACUAUGACAUCCUUAAAAGCAACUUGCAGAACUGCAGCAAGUUUAGUGCCAUCCAGUGUGCAGCUGCCGUCCCUAGAGCUCCUUCUGAAUCCUCAUCUUUUGAAAAGUUUGAGCAGUCAGAUCUUCCGGUAUCACCUGAGCCACAAGCUAGUAAUGAAUUGACCACCAAUGGUCAUGGCCCACCUAUCCCCAAACAGAGUUCCCAGCAGCCCAAAGGAAUCAUGGGCAUGUUUGCUUCUAAAGCUGCUUCUAAAACCCAAGAUGCCAACAAGGAAACCAAAACAGAGGCUAAAGAAGUAACGAAUGCAUCUUCGGUAGGCAACAAGCCAACAGGGAAAGGGAAUGCGAUAAGCAAUUUUUUUGGAAAAGCUGCUAUGAAUAAAAUUAAAGUCAAUUUGGAUUCAGAACAAGCAGUGAAAGAAGAAAAAAAAGUGGAGCAACCUCCACUGUCUGUCACUGAACCAAAGCUGGCAGCCCCUGUGGGCCUGAAGAAAUCUAGCAAAAAAGCAGAGCCUGUUAAGAUGCAGCAGAAGGAAAAAAAAAGGAAGCAAGUGGAGGUAUCUGAUGAUGAGACAAAAGAAACUGAAAACAUGAAGAAAAAGAGGAGAAGAAUCAAACUUCCUGAGUCUGAUAGCAGUGAAGAUGAAGUCAUACCAGACUCUCCUGGGGCUCAUGAAGCUGAGUCACCAUCCCCACCUCCUCCUGCUUCUUCAUCUCCUGAACCAGUGCCGAAGACUGAGCCAGAGCCUCCUUCUGUCAAGGGCUCAAGUGGAGAAAACAAAAGAAAACGAAAACGUGUGCUAAAAUCUAAAGCCUUUGUGGACGAGGAGGGCUGCAUAGUAACUGAAAAGGUCUACGAGAGUGAAUCCUGCACAGAUAGUGAAGAAGAGCUUAAGAUGAAGACUUCCUCUGUACAUAGGCCCCCCACCAUGACUCUGAAAAAGGAACCCAAAGAGGAACGAAAGGGCCCAAAGAAAGGAACUGCUGCUCUGGGCAAAGCCAAUAGACAAGUGUCCAUUACUGGCUUCUUCCAGAGGAAGUGAACUGCCAUCUCUGUUAGGUCCAGAGAUGUGGAGUGGUCAAGGGACAAGACCAAGACAUACAGACUCUCACUUACUGUUGAUAACUUGGAAGCACCUUCCUUUAUGGCUGGACAGUGAGCUCAGGGGAUGGAGGUGGUGUGGCGGUGACCUUGCACAGUGAGCUCUGGGGAAAGGAACACAGGCUCAGCUGCUGGAGUGACUCAUGACUUAACAGACGAGGGACGUCUGACUUGCUUCUUGCUCCUUCUGCCUUCGCCUGGUGUAUGUCGUAAGUGAUGCAGUCAGCCGUCUACUGUUUAAGGUUAGGAUUGUGACUGACCUUAGAUUAAUAGGAGCUUCUUUAGCAACUGUCACCCAGGGCCCUCCAGCCAGGCACCCCAUGGACUUGAUUAAAACCAGAGGUUUGGGAGAUUAGUCCCAGCAUUGCAUUACGUCUACAACUUGAGAAGGCUGAGGCUUUGUGCAGCAAGCUGAGUAAAGGUUGACACAUUCCAAACUCCUUUCUUUUUAAAAUGUAAAAGGAUGGAGAGAAGGGUGGAAAGGCUGGAUUUAACUUUACAAAAAACUUCUGGAGAGGAAUCCCUUUUAAAUGGUUAUUUUCGCCAUUGCCUCUAGUCAUUUUUCUAAAUAGAAAUGGAAAAUUAAAGAAAAAAAAAAGGAACAAUCCAGCCUUUUAAAAAAAAAUUAUCAUGCUGGGAUCUCUAAUUAAAUCCCAUUUUGAAUUGGAAAACUCUGGUGCUCGCGGAGUUCUGUCUUUGCAAGCAUAAUGCAAAUCCUGUGGUCACUGUGCCCAGUAUGCUGCCUACACUCUGAGCCGUCUGCAAGGCUUAUUGAGUAGUAAGUGCUGGCUGUUUCCUUUUUGUAAAAAAAAAAGAAACUCUACCAUGUUAUCCACAUGAGUUAAAUAAAUUUGAGAAGUUGUUUUAAAACAGUGCUUCAAACUGAUUGUCUGAUGAAUCUGUUACUUGACAGGAUGGCAACAGUGUAUGCAGUUAUUUAAACUCUGAAGAGGAACAAGGCUGGUUUUCAGUUUAUAUUGUUAAAACUGCAUACCCAUAGUCUGAGAUGGACAAGUUAUUUGCUGUCUUCAUCAUUUUUUCAGUCCUGUGGGAAAUCUUAGAUUCAGCCAACCUCAUUUUUUAGUUCCUUUAGAAGAAAAUCUAGUCCUGAUCUUGCACAUUGUGUUAGUCUGGCUUCACCACUUGCUGGCUCUGUGACCUUGGGCAGAUUUCUAAGCCUCAGAUUCUUUAUCAAAAUAGAGCUCAAACAAGUUACCAUGGGCCACCAAGAGUGAAGUAAUGUGUAUACAGAAUAAAUUCGGCACACGUAGGUGCUCUGCAAAUGAUGGCUUCCUUCUUGAUGUCAUAAAUGAUGCAGUCAGCCACGAGCUUCCUGAAAUGUUAUCAAGGAUAUGACCCAGAUGUUACACUCUUUCAAAAUAUUCAUUCUGGCUGUCAGUGUGGUCAAAGAGGGAAGAUAGUUACCUUAUUUUAUGAAAGGUUUUAGAGAGUAUAUUUUCUUAUUGAGAGAAAGUGAGAUUCGUAGACGGCUAUAUUUACUAUUCAUUAAAACAUUUAUUGUGUAUCUCCUAUAUGUCACGCUUCUGUCCUGAGCACUAGAAGGUAGAAUCCUAGAAUUUGGCACUUGUCCUCAGGAACUAGUGGAAGGGACAAGAAAGUAAAGUGAAAUCAUAGCAUCACAUGGUGAGUGCAAUGAUAAAUAAGCGCAGGGUCCUCAGAGAGCUCAUAGGAGGGGGGGUGUUGAGGACAUCUUCCUGAAGGAGAGAAAGCCAAGCAGUUUUUCUGAAGGAUGAGUAGGAUUUUACCAAGCAAAGAGGAAUGGAAAGGAUUUUCCAGGUAGAGGAACGUGACUUUUGGGGAGAAAUGGACUAUCAGAAUUUGGGAAUAGGGAGGGAAAUAUAUUGGGAAGUGAAGUUGGGGUCCUGCUAAGGAGUUUGGAUUUUAUUUGAAGACUAUGAGGGCCAAUCAAAGAAUUUUAAGAAGAGGAGUAACAUUAGAAGUUGAUUUUUAUUUCAGCGUGACAGCUGGCAUUUUCUUUGACUUUGUGUGCCAUAUAGGGAGUGUUUCUACCCAUGCUUGCCCAUCGUAUCUUAGUUCUAGUAGUAUUCAAAUUAAAGUUCUAAUGGAAUUAAAGAAAAAUGUUCUGGUUAAAGUAAGACUGCUUAAUUCUGGCAGUCAGGGUAGGUAGUUGCAGUAUUUUCCCUUGCCUCCCCCCAUCAAAGCAGCUUUCUCUAGCAGAAAUGAUUUCAGUUUUUUAAAAGUGAUUUCAAAAACUGGUAGUUCUUCUCUGACACUCUCAAUGAUAUGAGCCUCUAAUCAUUUCCCUGAAAAAAAACGGAGGAGGACGAGUGGAACAGUUCUAUUCCUUUUCUUUGUUUCUCUAAGAAGACAUUAGUUAUUAUACAGGAGAGAGCUGAAGAGAAGGGCCAUAUAAGGAAACGAAAUAGUUGCUCCAGGACCUGAGUAGAGUGAGUGCAUAAUAAUGUAUUUGCCAGAAACGUACUCUGUGUCAAGACUCGUUUUGGUAAACUUGUCUCCUUUCAUUGGUUCCGGGAUCUCAGUAUGCUGUAAUGCAGCUUUUUACCACCACAAAACAUUCUGGGGCUGCCUCGUUUUGUUGUGAGAAGGCAGUAUUGCUUUUUGAGUUAUUACCCUGGCGGCUCUGUAAAUUAGCCCAUGCUGUCACUAUGCCCUCUCUGAAGGGCACGUUGUACCCAAAUGACUGCAUUUAGGAUGGACUCUUGCCACUCCCUGCUGCAUGACACUUCUCACCAUUUGUAUCUGUGUCCAGUUUUUUUGUGUUCUUAAGUGUGGGCCACCCACAGAUUGCCACCCAGGCUCUUUAGCCUGAGAAACUUGGGAAGGCUUCUGAUCCAAACCCACCUUAACUCUAGAAUUCCCCCUCAUUUCAAACCCUAAAUAUCAUGUGGCUCCUCCGCCACCUCUCCCCUUUUUUCUCAUUUGCUUUUGCCAGACUCCUUGUUUCUUGAGGCUUCACUUUGGCUUCUCCCCCUCUUUUUUUUUUUAAUAUUCAAAGUUCUUCACAGCUAGUCCUUCUAUAACUUCUUUUUUUUUCAGUCUUUUAAGGCUUUCUUUCUCAAGGUUUUUAUGUCGUUUAUUGAACUGCUCUUGAAGAAUGGAAAAACCACAUUGUUUAGCAUCUACUUUGGGUCAUUCAAAUCCAGAGGGUCAAACAGUUGUUGAAUACUAGUUAUGUUUAGUCCUGGAUAAGGUACUUGAGGGAUUGCAAGAGCUCAGAGGCUAUCAUUAUGGAGUGGAGGACAGGCACACUAAAUAGCGUUAGAUAGCAACUGAGAUGAUGCUUAGAUGAGUGGUAAGAGGGACUUAAUUCAGAAGAGAACCUGGAUAAUCAUAAUGGGGGAAAAUUUAUAGUCC